rnacentral:rRNA from 1 species
GUGGGGAAUAUUGCACAAUGGGCGAAAGCCUGAUGCAGCAACGCCGCGUGAAGGACGAAGUAUUUCGGUAUGUAAACUUCUAUCAGCAGGGAAGAUAAUGACGGUACCUGACUAAGAAGCCCCGGCUAACUACGUGCCAGCAGCCGCGGUAAUACGUAGGGGGCAAGCGUUAUCCGGAUUUACUGGGUGUAAAGGGAGCGUAGGCGGCUUUGCAAGUCAGAAGUGAAAGCCCGGGGCUCAACUCCGGGACUGCUUUUGAAACUGCAGGGCUAGAUUUCAGGAGAGGUAAGCGGAAUUCCUAGUGUAGCGGUGAAAUGCGUAGAUAUUAGGAGGAACACCAGUGGCGAAGGCGGCUUACUGGACUGAUAAUGACGCUGAGGCUCGAAAGCGUGGGGAGCAAACAGGAUUAGAAACCCUAGUAGUCC